AGUUUCACAUCCUAUGACCCAGAAAUUGCUAUGUUCCCAAGAAAAACAGUCAGCAUUUCCCCCCCACCCCAGUGGGCCAAGAGCAGUGCCAGGGAUGCUGAAGGCCACCUCUGGGCUUGUGAGGACUCAGACGUUCAGAAGUGCUUCCCACCUUCUUAUGAGAUGAUGUCUCUCUCUGAACCUUGAGCCCACUGAUGGCCUAGAUUGCCUGGCUGAUGAGCUGCAGGCGUCCUCCAGGGCACUCCACUGGACUCCAGCACUGAGGCUGCAGGCAUCCACAUCCACACAGAGACCCUCAGACUUGCAGAGCGAGCACAUCACUUGACUGAGCCAUCUCCCCAGUAGGUCUCGGGGACUGAAGGUAGAGAAGUAGAAAGGUGAUUAAAAAGAAUGGAGUCAGUGGUGGCAGGACACUCAACAGCCAGAAUGUGGCUUUGGAGGAGCUCACCGACAACACCAGUGAACAGGGAGGCAGUGCGCCAUGCUGGGCUGAUGGACCACUGGGGCAUCCUCAUCCCAGAAGUUAAUUGUAACAGUCUUGAACUCAGUCCUACAAGUCAGUGCUCUUUGGCAUUAAUGCUUUAGUGAAUUGAUGACUACUUUCAUUUGGAAAAGUGCCAGUGGCCCUGAUUUCUCCCAUAGGACAGUGUCCUUCUUGGUCUAGGGUCUGAGAGAAGACAAGCCAGCUGUGACAUGGUGAGGGCGUGUGGCCAGCUGUGACAUGGUGAGGGGGGGGGGGGAGGAGGGAGGAGGGGAGGAACUACCUAGCUUGGUUUUCCUGGGAGGAUAAAGUAUGUCCAGGGUAUCUGUGUGAGUGACUCCCAUAGCAAAGCUCUGGUGAUGGCCACACCACUAACCUGUUUGUAGCUCUUCUCUUUUUUUCAGUGGCCCAGAAAGCUGUGGCAGAGCUGUGAGCUGAGCCAAUUGCUCAGCUUGCCUCCCUUGGACAGCCUAUGCCCUGCACACAGCUGGGCUAUCUGAGUGGAACAAGUUGGCCUGGACAGAAGUGCCAAGCUGGACUCAUCAGAGAGUCUAGGGCCUGGAGUUAGAGACAGGACAUGCACCAUGUGGCUAGUCUGGGGUUAAAGCCUUAAAAGCUUGAUCCCUAACACCAUUUCUGAGACAGGAUCUCCUGGAGCCAAGGCUGGCCUUGAACUUCCGGCAUCCCAGAGGAUGACCUUGAACUGACGUUCCUGCCUUCGCCUCUCAGUGUACUGGGCUUACAGGGAUUGCUGACAUGCUUGGCUUAAGUGGAGCAGGGGAUGGAGCUCGGGGCUCUAAGCAUGCUAGCUCAGCUCUAGCCCCUGUCUUGUUUCUUGUGUGACCUUUCCUGUCUGACUUCUCCGUACUUGAAACAUGACCUAGAAAAGGCAGGCUUUCCACCUUCCAUAACAUUACCGCCCACCUUUCCUGCCACUUACAGCAAAGAUCCCAAACUUGAAACAGUGUCAUUUCAAAGAUUUACCCACUUAAAAAAAAAAAAAGAUUAGCAAGGGUUCAAAGAAGAAACAAGUCAUGGAAAAUGUGACUUUGUGCUUCCUCACACCUCCCCAGAAGAAAGUAGAUACCUUCAAAGACAUCCCCAGUUCUGAGGGAGCCAAGAACUAUCAAAGGUUAAAGGCUGUACUGGGCUCAUCACUGCUGGACAACUUUUUCCAUUAUGUACUUUGAGGGCCACGGCUCCUUUAAGUCAGCUCCCACUUCUUCCUUAUAACAAUAACUUGCUUCAUUCUACAGACUUUAUUGAUUUCAAUGUGAUUCAUGUAAAAUUCAUGGCCACCAUGCAAAGCUUAUUUUUCACAUUUGAGUUACAGUAUUAACUGUAUAGCGGAAAUAGGAGAAGGGUAGGGUGAUGUGUGUGUACAGUUUGGACAGAGAGUGCCCAGCAGGUCUACAAGGCCCCUAAUGAGAAAAAUGUAACGGUUUCUUUCCUAAAGAACAGACAUGCAAAAGGGCCACAUGAGGUCAGUUCUUAAGAAGGGAACUGCAUGGUGUGGGCGAGGCAGGUCUGCAAGGCCUGUACUUCAGAGCAGCUGGAGCCAACGAGACCCGACCCGUUAGGCCACGAGCCCAGCUGUCUCCUCCCACAGCUGUGCACCUGGGGUUAGAGCAGACACUGCCUCCAGACUGCUUACUGUAAUCACAGUGCAGGCCUGGAAACUUCUCGAAGGCUGGGCCUCCCUGCCAUGGGUAAGAGGGUUUCUGGGUCUGGCCUCUGGAAGCCCUGACUCACGCCACCUCUGUUUCCCUCUGAGCCCUGAGCUUGCAUCUCCUGGCACAGCAAGGUGGGUCAUUAAGAUGGAUGUGAAGCCAGGCAGUGGUGGCACACACCUUUAAUCCCAGCACUUAGAAGGC